rnacentral:rRNA from 1 species
GAACGCGAAGAACCUUACCCGGGCUUGAAUUGCAGACGAACGAUUCAGAGAUGAUGAGGCCCUUCGGGGCGUCUGUGAAGGUGCUGCAUGGUUGUCGUCAGCUCGUGCCGUGAGGUGUCGGCUUAAGUGCCAUAACGAGCGCAACCCCUUUUUUCAGUUGCCAUCAGGUGAUGCUGGGCACUCUGGAGAUACUGCCACCGUAAGGUGUGAGGAAGGUGGGGAUGACGUCAAAUCAGCACGGCCCUUACGUCCGGGGCUACACACGUGUUACAAUGGCCGGUACAGAGAGUUGGUUGUGUGCAAAUACGAUCUAAUCCUUAAAGCCGGUCCCAGUUCGGACUGGGGUCUGCAACCCGACCCCACGAAGCUGGAUUCGCUAGUAAUCGCGCAUCAGCCAUGGCGCGGUGAAUACGUUCCCGGGUCUUGUACACACC